rnacentral:rRNA from 1 species
UACGUAGGGUGCGAGCGUUAAUCGGAAUUACUGGGCGUAAAGAGCUCGUAGGUGGUUUGUCGCGUUGUCCGUGAAAACUCACAACUCAAUUGUGGGCGUGCGGGCGAUACGGGCAGACUGGAGUACUGCAGGGGAGACUGGAAUUCCUGGUGUAGCGGUGGAAUGCGCAGAUAUCAGGAGGAACACCGGUGGCGAAGGCGGGUCUCUGGGCAGUAACUGACGCUGAGGAGCGAAAGCGUGGGGAGCGAACAGG